GGUUAAGCGACUAAGCGUACACGGUGGAUGCCUAGGCAGUCAGAGGCGAUGAAGGGCGUGCUAAUCUGCGAUAAGCGACGGCAAGGUGAUAUGAACCGCAACACCCGUCGAUACCCGAAUGGGGAAACCCGG
rnacentral:rRNA from 2 species